UCCUGAGACCUCAUCCUGUGAGACGAUCAUCACCAUGUUCGCUGUGAAAGCAGUCUGCUUCCUCGUCACCAUCGCUCUGCUUGUGGCAAUGCUGCCUGAUAACCUUCCGGGUCAGAGAACGUGUUUUCGUGCCGCUGACGGCUCGGCCCAUUGUGUAAGUUAAUAAAGAUGAAGAGCUGUCAAGCAUCCAAUGAAUACUUCGAUCACUGAAAGCAGUGUGUAGUCAAUUUAAAUAAAGUAGUCAUGCAUACCUA